rnacentral:rRNA from 1 species
UACAGAGGUCUCAAGCGUUGUUCGGAUUUAUUGGGCGUAAAGCGCUCGCAGGUGGUUCGUCGCGUCGUGCGUGAAAGACCCCGGCUCAACUGGGGAGGGUCGUGCGAUACGGGCGGACUGGAGGCCAGUAGGGGGAUGCGGAAUUCCGGGUGUAGUGGUGGAAUGCGUAGAGAUCCGGAGGAACACCAGCGGCGAAGGCGGCAUCCUGGACUGGUCCUGACACUCAGGAGCGAAAGCGUGGGGAGCGAUCCGG